UCAAGGUCACGUCAGAGCGGUGAUGAUGUGGAGAGGCAGAGACCACCACCAUACGCGAAGAUGAGCCUCGAGGCGUGACAGUUAUUUUUUCAAACUGGGGAGUUCAGACUCCGGACCGGCAUUUCUGCUUGUUUGUACCCUGAGGAACCCAAAGGUCCCACACCAACCAUAGUGUUCAACGGCUCUCCUGAUCUUCUCAAAUCUGAAAGUAUCAACUUUAUAAUGGACAAUGUGAACUUAAUAUGUGGAAGACAUUGACAUCACAGGCUGUGGAAUGACUGUGUCACAGGUCGUAGAAGCGGACCGCCCCUGUCGCGGAUCACGCUCCUCCUAGUUCCACCUCGAGGAGGUCCCAAAGCACCCCAAUGACCAGACAAACCAGAGAUAAGUAAAAUAUAGAAAUAGAAACUUUAUUUAAAUUAUUUAAAACUAAAGUGGGGAAUGGGAAAGGGAAUCUAAAAAUCUCGCUUCUCGCCCUCAGGGGGAGUAUUACGGGGCCAGGGACGUUGGAGGGGUUUCCACGUGACUCCAGCUGGAACACCACUACAGAGCGUAUCUGGGUGGGUUGGGCACACACCGUCGCGGCGGCCCCUGAUGGCAUCCACAAAGGUCCGAGACCCUCCUAAGCUCCUAGCCGUAGCAGAACUACGUAUUUCAGCACCCGAAGGACUAACAACCCAGCCGGCAUCUGCAGCGUAUAUCCAACGCGAUCAAACUUCACUCUGACAAGUAACUUCCUAUACACAACCACGCCGUCCUUUCGCCCGGACCAGCCCCGCACUCUUUCCGCCCGCUACCUAGCGGUCGCCGGAUCAGCAGAGCCUGCGGACUCUUCGGAGGCUGGUCUUCGUUGUGCUGCCCAAGGCGGAAGUUGACUCGCCCGAAAAUCGACCCUUCCAGUAACUUCUACCUUCUCUCUUUAUAUCCUCCUCCAUGGCGUGGCUCGCCCAACCAUCGCUCGCCACGUCACUUACACAGCUGUGCCUUGUUUCAGCAAGUGCGGGGAUUCCCGGGGAACCCUGAAGUGCCGGUGUCUCUACAAACCGGUCCGGGCGGAACCUCUUCACUCUCCUUUUGGUUCCGCCCCGCAUAGUCACUCCGUGACAACUGUUUGCGUUUUUUUUUCUCCUCAAUGUUCAAUACCCUUUUGCCAUUAAGCACACAGUGACUUUAAUUUAUAAAAUAUAUGCUUAAGUUUUAAUACCUGUACAAAACAAAUGUACAAUCAACUUGUGUAAAUUUUAAUAAAAAUUUAAGCUUUAAUUGCUUGUUCAUGUUAGUUCAGAGUGCAUUAACUAAUGUUAACAAGAUUUUAAUAAAGUAAUUGUUGAAAUUAACAUUAACAAAGAUUAAUAAAGGCUGUAUAAGUGCAGUUCAUUAUUAGUUCAUGUUAACUAAUGUAGCUAACUAAUGUUAACUAAUGAACCUUAUUGUAAAGUGUUACCGUGAUUUCUUUUCAUCAUUUCAGACACAUGUAAAAGUUACUAAAAAUUAGUACUGCAUAUACUGUACAGUAUCUAUGCGUAAGGGAAAUAACUUGAACAAAAUUUUUAAUGUAUAGUGUAAUUAAGAGUUUAGCUGUUUAAUACAGAGAUGCAAUUUAUUUAUAUAUAUUAUUUAUAUAUAAACGUAUGUAUGUUUAUUAAAAAGUGAAAAUGCUUAAUGGAAAUAAUUAAAUAACUAAAUGGUUGAA